AAGGGCACCACAAGAACGCGUGGAGCAUGUGGCUUAAUUUGACUCAACGCGGGAAAUCUUACCAGGUCCGAACACGCUGAGGAUUGACAGGUUUUUAUAAGACUAUAUAUAAAUAUUUUUAUUUAUCUAUAGCAAUUCUUAUAUCAAAUAUGCUAGUCCUUUCAUGAUUGCGUGAUAGGUGGUGCAUGGCCGUUCUUAGUUCGUGGAGUGAUCUGUCUGCUUAAUUGCGUUUCACUUUAACGAGUAUAUAUUAAAUACUUUGUUUGCACACAGAGUUGCUGCAUUGUUUUUUAACUUUGCACCUUUGUUGUUGCACGGUAUUUUUUUAAAUAUACUCUGAAGGCAACGAACGUGACCGCAACAUCUUGUUGCAUAAUCUUAUUUAUGCUAACUAGAUGGACCGCUGGAUCUUUUCUAAACAGAGGAAGAUUGCGGCAAUAACAGGUCUGUGAUGCCCUCAGAUGUUCUGGGCUGCACACGUGCUACAAUGAUUAUUGCAGUAAGCAUCUAUAUAGGAUUAUUAUAAUCCGCAGGAAUUAAUAAAUUUAUAUAAUUUUUUAUAUAUUUUUAUCCUGUUUAACCAACUUUGAAAGUAAGUUGGUAAUCAAUUCGAAGUAAUGAUUUCCUUUUGCACAAUAAUAAUAUUUUAUUCUAUUAAUCUUAAUCUUCGGAUUUUGAAUUAAAGUUAAAAUAUGUGCUCCAUUAUUUCAUGGUGGGGACUGACCAUUGUUAAUUGUUGGUCACGUCUCAACUAGGAAUGCCUA
rnacentral:rRNA from 1 species